UUAAGCCUGUAAGUGCAGUUGUUGGUGAGUCACGCAUGCUCAUGAGAUUUCAUCAUGCCAUCAGAUGACAUGGUCUCUAAUGGCUGGCCUACUGUGCAGCAGCAUGGAUCCAGGCUCUAGUACACUUCGGGUUUAGUGCCUGACAACUGGCCAGACUGUGCUGUGGAUGGAGCGUUACUUGUUAGUGACCCAUCAUGCAUGCCUUGGUUAAUGGAAACCCUGGCAUUUUUGCUCACCAAGUUCCCUGCUUUGGAGAAUUUCUUGAGGAAGACCAGAAGCAUGAACACCUGAAUGUCACUGGUGCCUGUACUGAGCCAUGAGAUUUGAGCACAAACAUACAGUGUUUCCUGCAUGAUGCUCCAAUAAGAAGUCACUACACAGAGCCUUAAGAAGUUAAUGUGAGAAAUGGACACAUAAAACAUGGAACUCCAUUUGUCUGGAUGUUUACAAAGCAUUUGGCUUUCU